CAGUCGCCACGGUAAUACAUAGGGUGCGAACGUUAAUCGGAUUUACUGGGCGUAAAGCGUGCGUAGGCGGCUUUUUAAGUCGGAUGUGAAAUCCCUGAGCUUAACUUAGGAAUUGCAUUCGAUACUGGGAAGCUAGAGUAUGGGAGAGGAUGGUAGAAUUCCAGGUGUAGCGGUGAAAUGCGUAGAGAUCUGGAGGAAUACCGAUGGCGAAGGCAGCCAUCUGGCCUAAUACUGACGCUGAGGUACGAAAGCAUGGGGAGCAAACAGGAUUAGAUACCCCCGUAGUCCCUGUCUCUUAUAC
rnacentral:rRNA from 1 species